rnacentral:rRNA from 1 species
AUUGAACGCUGGCGGCAGGCCUAACACAUGCAAGUCGAACGGUAACAGGAAGAAGCUUGCUUCUUUGCUGACGAGUGGCGGACGGGUGAGUAAUGUCUGGGAAACUGCCUGAUGGAGGGGGAUAACUACUGGAAACGGUAGCUAAUACCGCAUAACGUCGCAAGACCAAAGGGGGGGACCUUCGGGCCUCUUGCCAUCGGAUGUGCCCAGAUGGGAUUAGCUAGUAGGUGGGGUAACGGCUCACCUAGGCGACGAUCCCUAGCUGGUCUGAGAGGAUGACCAGCCACACUGGAACUGAGACACGGUCCAGACUCCUACAGGAGGCAGCAGUGGGGAAUAUUGCACAAUGGGCGCAAGCCUGAUGCAGCCAUGCCGCGUGUAUGAAGAAGGCCUUCGGGUUGUAAAGUACUUUCAGCGGGGAGGAAGGGAGUAAAGUUAAUACCUUUGCUCAUUGACGUUACCCGCAGAAGAAGCACCGGCUAACUCCGUG